ACUUUGAGCUCUCAGGACAGACAACAGGCUACAUUGCUGCUGGUGUGUCAAAUGCUGCAAUUCAGACUGCCAAUUUCAGAGCCUACGUCUGCGCUAACCAUAACGGUGCUGUCCGUUUCUUCACUGGCUUCAUCAACAAUCUGGUUUUAAAUCUCACAGGGACGCUGGACUCAAGCAAUGAGCGGGGAUCGGUCAACUCAGGCAAAAUCCAGUGUACAUUUUCAGCUGUUCUACCUGACACAAUUACACGAGCAGCAGAUUAUGCUUUGUCUAUUACAACUGGACCUUACAAUGCCAGUUCUGGGCAGCCAGGAACAGCAAGCCUCAGAAUACUAACGCCUGUCRUAAGCCUCUCCGACCCGACCGCCAACGCCACCAAUUUGCUGAGCAACAGCACUAACAGCACUUCGUCUGCUUACCCGGUCACACACACACAGUCAUUCUUGCCAGUUCUGCUGGUCACCGUGAUAAUGCUGGCUUUCACAGCUGUAUGAAGCAACUGACCUCCACCACUACACUAUAGGAAAAAAACAGACUUUUUCAAGAGUCCCAAAGCAAGUUGCCAUGAUUUUCACCAGCAUGUCUCAUCAUUCAUAACAGCUUUUUGGUUUAAAGGUCUGGUUACCUUUCUAGUCCAUUUUACUGGUGCAUGUUGAAAACUUCUAAUCUGACUUUUCACUUGAUGUAAUUUAAUUCUAUGUUGUAAUUGUGGUGUUAUUAGCUGCUCCUAAAUUAUGAAGUCUUUACUGAUGUGAAUGGGCAUGUUGAUACAAGUGGAAUCUAAAUGUGGUACCAAUUGUUGGUGAAGGUAAUUUAAACAUUUCCACAAAUUAAUAAAUAUUUUAGUGUAUAUAUACAUAUAUAUAUUCCCCUUUGUCAUCUUAUUUGCACAAGCUUUAAAUAAAUAUGUCUUUCUUAAGGAA